rnacentral:snRNA from 1 species
GUGCUUGCUUCGGCAGCACAUAUACUAAAAUUGAAACGAUACAGAGAAGAUUAGCACGGCCCCUGCACAAGGAUGACACGCAAAUUCGUGAAGCAUUCCAUAUUUUU